rnacentral:rRNA from 1 species
AUUGAACGCUGGCGGCAUGCCUUACACAUGCAAGUCGAACGGUAACAGGUCUUCGGAUGCUGACGAGUGGCGAACGGGUGAGUAAUACAUCGGAACGUGCCCGAUCGUGGGGGAUAACGCAGCGAAAGCUGUGCUAAUACCGCAUACGAUCUACGGAUGAAAGCGGGGGAUCGCAAGACCUCGCGCGGACGGAGCGGCCGAUGGCAGAUUAGGUAGUUGGUGGGAUAAAAGCUUACCAAGCCGACGAUCUGUAGCUGGUCUGAGAGGACGACCAGCCACACUGGGACUGAGACACGGCCCAGACUCCUACGGGAGGCAGCAGUGGGGAAGUUUGGACAAUGGGCGCAAGCCUGAUCCAGCCAUGCCGCGUGCAGGAUGAAGGCCUUCGGGUUGUAAACUGCUUUUGUACGGAACGAAAAAGCUCUAUCUAAUACAGGGGGUGAAUGACGGUACCGUAAGAAUAAGCACCGGCUAACUACGUG